rnacentral:rRNA from 1 species
UGUGUAGGCGGUUGGAUAAGUGUGGUGUGAAAUCUCCCGGCUCAACUGGGAGGGUGCGCUACAAACUGUCUGACUAGAGGUGCGGGAUGGGAAAGUGGAAUUCCUGGUGUAGCGGUGAAAUGCGUAGAUAUCAGGAGGAACACCGGUGGUGUAGACGGCUUUCUGGACCGUAACUGACGCUGAAACACGAAAGCGUGGGUAGCAAACA